rnacentral:rRNA from 1 species
AACGAACGCUGGCGGCAGGCCUAACACAUGCAAGUCGAACGCUGUAGCAAUACAGAGUGGCAGACGGGUGAGUAACGCGUGGGAACAUGCCCUUCGGUUCGGAAUAACUCAGGGAAACUUGAGCUAAUACCGGAUACGCCCUUAGGGGGAAAGAUUUAUUGCCGAAGGAUUGGCCCGCGUCCGAUUAGCUAGUUGGUGAGGUAAUGGCUCACCAAGGCGACGAUCGGUAGCUGGUCGGAGAGGAUGCUCAGCCACACUGGGACUGAGACACGGCCCAGACUCCUACGGGAGGCAGCAGUGGGGAAUAUUGGACAAUGGGCGCAAGCCUGAUCCAGCCAUGCCGCGUGAGUGAUGAAGGCCCUAGGGUUGUAAAGCUCUUUCGCCAGGGACGAUAAUGACGGUACCUGGAUAAGAAGCCCCGGCUAACUUCGUGCCAGCCGCCGCCGUAAGAC